UACUGUGCUGCAUAUUGCUUCCAGAAAUAGUAACCGUCAAACUAUCGAAUGUUUGUUACAAAAAUAUUGUGAUCCAAAUAUAUUAAACAAUAAGAGUGAAAAGCCAAUAGACGUUGUCGGAGGUGACCCAGAAAUAAUAAAGAUAUUAAAGGAAUAUGGAAAUUCGAUUUUACCUGGU